AGGCAGCAGUGGGGAAUAUUGGACAAUGGGCGCAAGCCUGAUCCAGCCAUGCCGCGUGUGUGAAGAAGGCCUUCGGGUUGUAAAGCACUUUUGUUCGGGAAGAAAAGCUACCGGUUAAUACCCGGGAGUCAUGACGGUACCGAAAGAAUAAGCACCGGCUAACUUCGUGCCAGCAGCCGCGGUAAUACGAAGGGUGCAAGCGUUACUCGGAAUUACUGGGCGUAAAGCGUGCGUAGGUGGUGAGUUAAGUCUGUCGUGAAAGCCCCGGGCUCAACCUGGGAAUGGCGAUGGAUACUGGCUCGCCAGGGUGCGGUAGAGGAGAGUGGAAUUCCCGGUGUAGCAGUGAAAUGCGUAGAGAUCGGGAGGAACAUCAGUUGCGAAGGCGGCUCUCUGGACCAACACUGACACUGAGGCACGAAAGCGUGGGGAGCAAACAGGAUUAGAUACCCUGGUAG
rnacentral:rRNA from 1 species